UGACAAACCAUCUGACAUGCCACUUCCAACUAAAAGAAGGCCUUAUGAUGAUAUUGAGGAUGAGGACAAAAAGGUCUUCAAUAAAGGCAAGAAGUAACAAGUUGCAACAGAUACUGGCCAUGCAACAGCUAUUUUGGUGCUUACUAUAGAACUAGCUUUUGUCGCUUCCAACCAGACACACUCAUAUCCACAAUACUUUUGCAGUGGCACUCAUUUUGGUGUAUAUAAUGCCACUUUUCUUAUUGUGUUCCUUCAAACUUGGGUUACGUGACAGUUGCAACACUAACUGUGCCUCUUAUGAAAUGUAUUCAUAUAUUAUUAUGUAUGGAACCAUAAACUACUAUGAAUGUUGAUAUAAUAUAUAUGUUUA